AGAGUUUGAUCCUGGCUCAGGAUGAACGCUGGCGGCAUGCCUAACACAUGCAAGUCGACUAGCUCUAGCGCAAGUUAGAGUGGGUGGCGCACGGGUGAGGAACACGUAAGAACCUACCCUAGGAGGAGGAUAACUGCUGGAAACGGCAGCUAAUACUCCAUACGCUGAGGAGUGAAGGUCGAAAGACCGCCUAGGGAUGGGCUUGCGUCUGAUUAGCUAGUUGGUGAGGUAAAUCUUACCAAGGCGACGAUCAGUAGCUGGUCUGAGAGGAUGAUCAGCCACACUGGGACUGAACACGGCCCAGACUCCUACGGGAGGCAGCAGUGAGGAAUUUUCCGCAAUGGGCGAAAGCUGACGGAGCAAUGCCGCGUGAAGGAUGAAGGCCUGUGGGUUGUAAACUUCUUUUCUCAGGACGAAAAAAAUGACGGUAUCUGAGGAAUAAGCAUCGGCUAACUCUGUGCCAGCAGCCGGGUAA
rnacentral:rRNA from 1 species